rnacentral:tmRNA from 1 species
GGGGCUGACCGGAUUUGACGGCGAGAUGAAAUGGUAUGUAAGCACGCGGAGGGUCGUUGGUUCACUCCUUAAACAGAGCUUUCAGAAAAUUAAUUGGCAACAAUAAGUAUGCUCUCGCUGCUUAAUCGAAGAACAGUAGAUUUUAGCUUUAUUCCCUUGCAAGGCGAGGGAACGAGACAUCGCCCAGACAGCUGUUGUCCCGAAGCGGUCUGUUUUCGCGAUGCUAGCAAAUCGGGAAUAGUGCAGGUAAGCCUCAGUGCCUGCAUGAGAUUUUAGAGGAUAAGGCAUCAGUUGGUGGUCCAGGUCUUGCUGCUGCACGAAAAUCAAAGGCUGGAAUAAGCGUGUAGAAAGCAUAUGGUUUCCUUGUGCGGACGAGGGUUCGACUCCCUCCAGCUCCACU